UAGGAAUUUAUGUUGGAAGCGAACUUUCAAGAUUCUCAAGAAGGUUCACAGGACUGGAAUGUUGGAAAUUUUAAUAAUAUCUGUAAGGCGGCUCCGGUUAAAAUUAUCGAAAUGAAAGGCGGCAAAAACAAUACCGCAGUCUGCAGUACGACAGAUAU